CCUACGGGUGGCAGCAGUGGGGAAUAUUGCUCAAUGGGGGAAACCCUGAUGCAGCGACGCCGCGUGAGCGAUGAAGUAUUUCGGUUUGUAAACCUCUAUUAUUAGGGAAGAAAAUGACGGUAUCUGACGAAUAAGCACCGGCUAACUACGUGCCAGCAGCCGCGGUAAUACGGAGGGGGCAAGCGUUACCCGGAUUUACUGGGCGUAAAGGGCGCGUAGGCGGUAGAGCAAGUCAGAUGUGAAAGCCUGUGGCUCAACCCUAGAACUGCAUUUGAAACUGUAAGUCUAGAGUAUGGGAGAGGUAGGCGGAAUUCUUGGUGUAGCGGUAAAAUGCGUAGAUAUUAAGAGGAACACCAGUGGCGAAGGCGACCUGCUAGACCAUGACUGACGUUGAGGCGCGAAAGCGUGGGGAGCAAACAGGAUUAGAUACCCUAGUAGUC
rnacentral:rRNA from 1 species